rnacentral:rRNA from 1 species
AUUGAACGCUGGCGGCAGGCCUAACACAUGCAAGUCGAACGAGUGGCGGACGGGUGAGUAAUGUCUGGGAAACUGCCCGAUGGAGGGGGAUAACUACUGGAAACGGUAGCUAAUACCGCAUACCAUCGGAUGUGCCCAGAUGGGAUUAGCUAGUAGGUGGGGUAACGGCUCACCUAGGCGACGAUCCCUAGCUGGUCUGAGAGGGUGACCAGCCACACUGGAACUGAGACACGGUCCAGACUCCUACGGGAGGCAGCAGUAGGGAAUAUUGCGCAAUGGGCGCAAGCCUGAUACAGCCAUGCCGCGUGUGUGAAGAAGGCCUUCGGGUUGUAAAGUACUUUCGGCAGGGAGGCGUUACCCAAAGAGAAAGCACCGGCUAACUCCGUGCCAGCAGCCGCGGUAAUUC